rnacentral:sRNA from 1 species
GUGUACACACACGCAGAUGCAUGCAGGCAGGCACAUGCACACACUGAUGUGCACACACAGAUGUACAUGGAGACAGAUGCACACACAGGUCUAUGCACACACGUACACAUGCACAGGCAUCUGUGUACACACACUUACAGAUGUGCCCGCAGCAUCCCGUCUGUGGUAUGCACAGACAUAGGUACAUGGAGACAGAUGCACACACAGGUCUAUGCACACACAGGCACCUGUGUCCACACAUACAUACAGAUGCACCCACAGCAUCCCGUGUGUGCCGCCCUAUUAGGUUUGUGGCCAUUUGGGGAAUCUUCCUAAAACCCUAAAAGCUAGAGCAGGUCUGCUUGAGCAGGAGCAGCAGGGUCUGGGGGACCCCUGAGGGCAGGACAGUCAGGGACCCACAGUUGAGCUGGGCCCACUGAGCCCUGGAUCCUUCUUGGUGUCUCAUCCUGGCCAACAAGCAAGCGUGAGCUCCUGUGGGUCUCCAGAGGCCCACGAGGACCAGUGGGCCAGGUGGGAACAAGGCUUGGCGUCCUCUUCAGGGGGGAACACCAGGCAGGCCUGAGGAGGCCUGUGUCCCCAACCCGUCACUGCUGUGGCUCCGCUUCUCAGGGAGCCUAGGAAGAAGGUGUGGCAAGAGCCCGAGGUGCUGGCUGCACCUGGCGGGGCCUGUGGGCGUCAGUUUAGACGCAUCCAUUCUCACUGAAGCAUUCCAGGGUUUGCCCUUAUGCUCGGCUGUGUGAGGGUGAGGAUGAUGCUGUGGGGGCAUGCACGCUGGGUGUGUUUCAAACUCCUCUUCCGCCAGGCAUCCUGAUGUCGAGGCCCAGGAGAGAGGAGUCCGGUGUCUGCUUGAGAAACAGCUCCCCAAUGGUGACUGGCCGCAGGAAAACAUUGCCGGGGUCUUCAACAAGUCCUGUGCCAUCUCCUACACGAGCUACAGGAACAUCUUCCCCAUCUGGGCCCUCGGCCGCUUCUCCCAGCUGUACCCUGAGAGAGCCCUUGCCGGCCACCCCUGAGAACAUGCCUGUGGCCUUCAAGUCACAGGACGCAGCGAUUCCCUGCCCUCUUCAGUGUUAUUACACAUGCAGGACUUCAGUGUCAGUAUCCCUGCCCUCAGUCUUCUUUAGAAAUCACAUCCGUGUUCAAUCCAUUGUUUAGAGGGAGUGUAUUUUUCCUGUUCCACGAAGAGGACUUUUUGUUCACAAUUGGAUCACAAUGCAGAGGAGUCUGUUCCUCCCCCGUCGGUUUCUCGGUGCUGGGAGGAUGACCUGUCCCAGAUGACUCAUCACCCUGACGUGCUCUUGACAAAGGAUACCACUGAGAGGAGAUGGCAGCUGCACCUGUGCAGCCUCUGUCUGAGGGGGAUAUUUGCCUCAGUGUGAUUAAAAAUCAAGUUUGCUAUCCUGAAUAAGUCAUGAAAGA